rnacentral:ncRNA from 2 species
GUGCGGGUCCGCGCCGAUUUGAGCCUCCAGCUUGCGGGCGCGUUAUAAAUGCCGCUAAAGCGAGCUGCCCACGACCCGU